rnacentral:rRNA from 1 species
AAACACGGACCAAGGAGUCUAACAUGUGCGCGAGUCAUUGGGUCUCUCGAAACCUAAAGGCGCAAUGAAAGUGAAGGCAGCCUCAGGUUUGUCUAGGUAGGAUCCUUUCCGUCCAGGGGAGGCGCACUACCGGCCCGCUUCGGCGGAGCGAGAGCGUACACGUUGGGACCCGAAAGAUGGUGAACUAUGCCUGAGUAGGACGAAGCCAGAGGAAACUCUGGUGGAAGUCCGUAGCGAUUCUGACGUGCAAAUCGAUCGUCGAACUUGGGUAUAGGGGCGAAAGACUAAUC